GCUGAAGGCAGACGCUUAAUGACUGAGCCACCCAGGUGCCCCCAAAACCAGACUCUUAAAUACAGAAAACUGGUAGUUGCCAACAGAGAUAGGUGGGGACAAAAUAGGUGAAGGGGACUAAGAGAUACAAAUUUCCAGUAAUAAAAGAAGUAAGUCAUGAUAAUGAAAAGCACAGCAUAGGGUAUGUAGUAAAUAGUAAAUAAUGGGAUAACACUGUGUGGUGACAGAUGGUGACCACACUACCGUGGUGAGCAAUGAAUGAUGUCUUGCCAAAUCACUAUGUUGUAUACCUGAAACGAAUAUAACAUCAUAUAUUGCAUAAUAAUUAUAUUUCAAUGUACAGAAAAUUCUUUUUAAAAAUUGUUCUGAGUAUAAUAAAAUUAUUAUUUGUCUUUUGUCAGUGUUAGCCACACUAAAAGUGAACAAGACAUUGUGUGUCUCUGAUGGAUACAAUAGGAAGCUCACAGCAAGCACCACCUCUGAGGCAUUCAAAUAAAAAAGAAAUUGAUCCUGACUCUGAUUCAGCUAUCGGUUUACAGGAAAUGUGAGGAAUACAGGAACAAGUCAAAUAACACCAUAAGGAAGUGAAGAAACAAAUCCAGGAUGUGAGAUAUUCUACAAGACAAAUGGCCCAGUUUCUUCUCAAAUAAAUGCAGUUUCUUGGGAAGAGAGGCACCUUCAGACAGAUCUCCACUGGUCUCAGGAGACACUGUUCAGGAGAGAAUACCAAGUGGUUGAAAGGAGGUCACCUCAAAUCUCUGCAUGUCUGUGGCAGCCCUGUCAUCAUCAUGGCAGCAAAGCUGGCUUUGGAGGCUGAGACGGAGAUCACAAGUAGGCAGAGAGAGGAGGAAGCA